GACGAACGCUGGCGGCGUGCUUAACACAUGCAAGUCGAACGGAAAGGCCCUGCUUUUGUGGGGUGCUCGAGUGGCGAACGGGUGAGUAACACGUGAGUAACCUGCCCUUGACGUUGGGAUAACUUCAGGAAACUGGGGCUAAUACCGGAUAGGAGCUCCUGCUGCAUGGUGGGGGUUGGAAAGUUUCGGCGGUGGGGGAUGGACUCGGGGCUUAUCAGCUGGUUGGGUGGGUAGUGGCUUACCAAGGCUUUGAUGCGUAGCCGGCCUGAGAGGGGGACCGGUCACCAGGGGACUGGGACACGGUCCAGGCUCCUAAGGGAGGCAGCGGUGGGGGAUGUUGGACAAUGGGGGGAGGCCUGGUUCAGCCAUGCCGCGUGGGUGAAGAAGGUCUUCGGAUUGUAAAGCACUUUAAGUUGGGAGGAAGGGCAGUAAGUUAAUACCUUGCUGUUUUGACGUUACCAACAGAAUAAGCACCGGCUAACUUCGUG
rnacentral:rRNA from 1 species